GAUGAACGCUGGCGGCGUGCCUAACACAUGCAAGUCGAGCGGUAUAUACUUAAACAAAUCUUCGGAAGAGUGAGAGUAUAGAGAGCGGCGGACGGGUGAGUAACGCGUAGGCAACCUGCCCCAUACAGAGGGAUAGCCUCGGGAAACCGGGAUUAAAACCUCAUAACGCGAAGAAGUCACAUGGCUUUUUCGCCAAAGAUUUAUCGGUAUGGGAUGGGCCUGCGUCUGAUUAGCUAGUUGGUGGGGUAACGGCUCACCAAGGCAACGAUCAGUAGCCGACCUGAGAGGGUAAUCGGCCACAUUGGAACUGAGACACGGUCCAAACUCCUACGGGAGGCAGCAGUGGGGAAUAUUGCACAAUGGGCGAAAGCCUGAUGCAGCAACGCCGCGUGAGCGAUGAAGGCCUUUGGGUCGUAAAGCUCUGUCCUUGGGGAAGAAUAAAUGACGGUACCCUUGGAGGAAGCCCCGGCUAACUACGUG
rnacentral:rRNA from 1 species